UUCAAAAAUAUGAGGAUGAAAAUUAAUCCAUGUGAGUGUAUGGAAAGAGAGGCUGCAUUUAGUCGGUCCUGCAUGGUGGAGGAGGUGAAGGUGGUGGAGUGCUGCAUGGUGACGCCCAGCGAGGAGACGCCCAGGUGCAGACUCUGGCUCUCCCCGCUUGACCUCAUGAUGGUCAACAGGGGCCACACCCCGAUAGUCUACUUCUACCGCUCCGCCUCAGUCUCCGACGACGGCUUCUUCGAGGUGGCCAGGCUGAAGGCCGCGAUGGCCAAGGCCCUGGUCCCGUUCUACCCUCUCGCCGGCCGUCUGGGCGUUGAUGGUGAUGGCCGGCCAGAGAUCGACUGCACUGGACAAGGUGCGCGCUUCGUGGUUGCUCGCUCAGAACUCGCCACCGCCGACUUCAGCGCUCGCCAGCCGUCGCCUGAGCUGAGGAGGCUCUUCAUCCCCAGGGACAUCGACGAUGUCAUACUCGCCGUCCAGGUGACCUUCUUCAAGUGCGGUGGGGUGGCCCUAGGCACCGCGCUGCACCACGUCGUCAUCGAUGCCCUAAGCGCGUUCCACUUCUUCCAGACGUGGUCCGCCUUCUCCAGAGACGGGGCCGGCGACGGCGCUGGAGCAGCCGCGACAGCGCUGGAGCUGCCAUGCCACGACCGUACCCUCAUUCGCGCACGCUCCCCGCCACGCGUCGUCAACCCCGACGCUCUCUCCGUGUUCUUGCCCCUCAAAAACGACCCAAACAUACCCGUGCCGGAGCCAUCUGGGCCUGCCGUCAACGAGAUUUUUGUUCUGUCCAACGACCAGGUCACCGCUCUGAAGCGUGCCUGCGGUGGCGCGAGCACGUUCUGCGCCCUCAGCGCCCACGUGUGGCGCUGCCUGUGCGCCGCUCGGCGGCUACCGACGGACGCCGAGACGCGGUUCAGCUUCCCGGCUAACUUC
rnacentral:rRNA from 1 species